AGCAGCCGCGGUAAUUCCAGCUCCAAUAGCGUAUAUUAAAGUUGUUGCGGUUAAAAAGCUCGUAGUUGAAUUUCGGGAUUAAUAUGUUGGUCGUGCCUUGGUACGUCCUGGCAUUAUUGAUUCCUACCUUCUGAAGAACCUCGAUGUCAUUAAUUUGGUGUCUUGGGGAAUCAGGACCGUUACUUUGAAAAAAUUAGAGUGUUUAAAGCAGGCUCGCGCUUGAAUACAUUAGCAUGGAAUAAUGAAAUAGGACGUUUGAUUCUAUUUUGUUGGUUUCUAGGAUCGACGUAAUGAUUAAUAGGGAUAGUUGGGGGCAUUAGUAUUCAAUUGUCAGAGGUGAAAUUCUUGGAUUUAUUGAAGACUGACUACUGCGAAAGCAUUUGCCAAGGAUGUUUUCAUUAAUCAAGAACGAAAGUUAGGGGAUCGAAGACGAUCAGAUACCGUCGUAGUCUUAACCAUAAACUAUGCCGACUAGGGAUCGGAUGAUGUUAAUUUUUUAAUGUACUCAUUCGGCGCCUUA
rnacentral:misc_RNA from 1 species